GACGAACGCUGGCGGCGUGCCUAACACAUGCGAGUCGAACGGAGUUGCUCCUUCGGGGACAACUUAGUGGCGAACGGGUGAGUAACGCGUGAGAAACCUGCCUUUCAGUGGGGGACAACAGUUGGAAACGACUGCUAAUACCGCAUAAUGUUAUUUGGGGGCAUCCCCGAAUAACCAAAGAUUUAUUGCUGAAAGAUGGUCUCGCGUCUGAUUAGCUAGUUGGUGAGGUAACGGCUCACCAAGGCGACGAUCAGUAGCCGGUCUGAGAGGAUGAACGGCCACAUUGGGACUGAGAUACGGCCCAGACUCCUACGGGAGGCAGCAGUGGGGAAUAUUGGGCAAUGGGCGAAAGCCUGACCCAGCAACGCCGCGUGAAGGAAGAAGGCCUUCGGGUUGUAAACUUCUUUUACCAGGGACGAAGAACGUGACGGUACCUGGAGAAAAAGCAACGGCUAACUACGUGCCAGCCGCCGCGGUAAAAC
rnacentral:rRNA from 1 species